rnacentral:lncRNA from 10 species
AGAGAAACGCGGGAGUGGUGGGGGAUGUGGGUUCCUGUGUGCUGAGCGGAGGAGCCGGGGUGGGGGCGGUGCAAGCGGAAGAAAGAGCCAAGAGAGCGGAAAAUCGGCUGGUGCUGUCGCCGCCCGAGUUUUGUGUUUCCACAGCUUUCCAGUUGGGUACAACGGAGCCGAACUCCGUGUUCCCGGGCUGGAGAGCCUUGGUGUCCCCGCCAACCCCCAGUAGGAAGCGAGCGCUGUAACAUGGGAGGCGUGGUCGCCACUGAUCUUGUCUCCCCCCAGAGCCUUCCUAAAGGCUCUGCCGCCACGAGACUGCACCACCGGGAAAGAAGUGUGUGAAAGUGUACUCCGUAAACAGGCAAUCCUGUACGCGACUUAGGGGCAGAAAGACCCUCCGCACUUUUAUCAUUUGAAAGUAAGGUGGACGAUUCCAGCCUGGUGUCCCUGAGGGUACACACAGGCCCCCCGCGCAGCCAGAGGUGACUCAGGAACCCCCCUUCCAACCCCUGCGUAGAACGCCGAACAGUCUUCGGAGAAUUCGCUUUCCUCCACGUGAAAAGGAAAAGAAAAACAUUUGAGGAGUCGCAGUAGUCACUUGUACUCCCCAAACACACGGGAAGAAGUUGAUCAGUUUGCAUGCUUGGAGUCAAAUUACGCUCAGCACAAAUCCAACGCCCCUGAAUUAAAUGAGCAGUAGAAGCUCUCUGCAAAAAACACAACAGUAUUUGUGACCCGGUAUUAUUUCAGGAGGCCAGUAAAGGAAUAAAAAA